rnacentral:rRNA from 1 species
AUAACUCGAUAAUCCACGUAUACCAAACCUUCUCUUGAUGUACAGCAUGUGUACUGCCGUUGCAAGCAUACCUUUAAAAGAGUAGUAUGCUACUAUGGUUAUACCCCAUAUACAUCAGGUCAAAGUGCAGCUAAUGAAAAGGUGAUGAUGGGUUACAACCCUAAAACGGACUAUAGACUAAGAAAUUAAAACCUCUUAAGAAAGUGGACUUGGCCGUAAUCAACUUUAAAAUAAAGAAAUAAAUUAUACCUAAGACAUGCACACAUCGCCCGUCACUCUACCCUAAAGGGUAGAUAAGUCGUAACAAAGUAGGUGUAAUGGAAAUUGCACCUGUCGAAGUAUAGCAUAUAAAAUGCUUUUUACUUACACUAAAAACAAAGUUACUAAACUUACUUCGCCCACAUAUAGAAAUCAUAUAAAAUAAAAAUGAUAGAAGCAACUAAAUAUACUAAUUUAAAUGAAGUACAGAAAUGGAAAUAAAAAUGAAAUAAAGUAAUUAUUAACAAAUAUACCUUGUGCAUUAUGGUUUUACAAGAAAAUUAUUAAACACAUACAUCCCGAAUUCUAAAUGAGUUGUUAAACUGCUGCUAUGAGCCCAUUAAUAACUGUAGAAAAAGUUUUAAAAGACAGUUUAACAGAGGCUACAUACCAUACGCAUAAGAAUAUAGCUGGUUUUCAACAAACAUUAUAUAUUAAAACAUAUAAUAAAAUUAUAGUGUAACAUUAUUGAGGACAAGCCCAAUAAUUCUAAGCAAUAAAUAACAAUAUCCAACUUAAGUUGUAGGCCUAAAAUCAGCCAAUAAAAAUACUUUAUCGUAGUAAGCAUGGACCUAUAUAUUUACAACAAAAUAUGCCAAAAAAAGUUGAAAUGGUGGGUAAACUAACCUAUACCACUUAUAAUAUGUAAAAAUAAGUAUUACACUCUUUACCAAUUAAUACCCAAGAAAUUAAACAAACAUUAAGGUAACAAUAAUUAAUUAAGGAACUCGGCAAAUAACUAUUUCGACUGUUUAACAAAAACAUUGUCUUAUGGACCUCAUGUAAGAUAGUACCUGCCCAG